UACAGAGGGUGCGAGCGUUAAUCGGAAUUACUGGGCGUAAAGCGUGCGUAGACGGUUCUGUAAGUCGGAUGUGAAAUCCCCGGGCUCAACCUGGGAAUUGCAUUCGAGACUGCAAAGCUUGGGUGCGGAAGAGGGAAGCGGAAUUUCCGGUGUAGCGGUGAAAUGCGUAGAUAUCUGGAGGAACACCGGUGGCGAAGGCGGCAUCCUGGACCGAUACUGACGCUGAGGAGCGAAAGCCAGGGGAGCAAACGGG
rnacentral:rRNA from 1 species